rnacentral:rRNA from 1 species
UACGUAGGGUGCGAGCGUUGUCCGGAAUUAUUGGGCGUAAAGAGCUUGUAGGUGGCUCGUUGCGUCGGGAGUGAAAACCUGCGGCUUAACCGCAGGCCUGCUUCCGAUACGGGCGAGCUAGAGUUCGGCAGGGGAGACUGGAAUUCCCGGUGUAGCGGUGAAAUGCGCAGAUAUCGGGAGGAACACCGAUGGCGAAGGCAGCACUCUGGGCCGGCACUGACGCUGAGGAGCGAAAGCGUGGGGAGCGAACAGG